rnacentral:lncRNA from 1 species
AGCCCAAGGGUAGCCUGAGGGCUCCCUGCUCGAGGGUCGUCAUUACAGUAGCUUCAAUAGAGAUGCUUCCUUGUCUCCACUGGGUUUAUGGGUUAUUUUUAAAAAGCUGAUGUGACAGGUCCAUUGGCUAACAGGGAAAGGCAUUUCUGUGGAGAGACAGAAAAAAAAUACGAGUAAUUUUUUUUUUCAAGUUUAGAGUUGAAAUAAGUAAGUUAUGAUUGUUUCUUAGGCUUUGGUGGCUUGUCUCAUGUUUUUCCUUCCUAGUUCAUGAUGACAUCAUCAAUUAUAUAUGGAGAUCAGAUUCUGAAUUUUGGGAUGAGGGGGGUCAUGUUUGUACUGCCACACAGAAGCUGUCAAGUCACAGGGUUUUGAUUGUCAUGCAUUGUCAUUUUGAGCUGUCCUACAGGAUGCUGGCCUAUCUCUUGUACCCAUGAGCUCUGGGGCUUUUGUGCAUCAUCUUGCUGGGAUGCCCUCCGUCACAGGGUGAUCUGAGCAAUGGCUUUUGUCACUUCCUUAGUGGAUGAGUUACUCUGUGGCCUUCUACAAUUGCAGAGACUGCAAUUGUAGAAGUUAUUGUAGGGACUUGGGUUCACCUAUGGAGGGGAAAAGAGGUUUGGAAAAUUGUCACUGUGGAAUAAACCAUUGUUGAUUAUUAGAUACUUUUCCUUAUGUUACUUGGUGGGCAUUUUUCCUUCCUGAAUUACCCAGAAAUUAUUUUAAUUCUCAGUGACUCCCUGCCCCUGGGAACAUGUCCACAGUGGAGAAGGAGGAAGUAAAAACCCCACCUUAUAGGCCUGAAUCAUGAUUACACUUACCUCUCUGGGCCUGCACUGAACUCUUAAAUGUUCUGGUGACAAUUCUGAGUCGGUUAAUUCUAGGGCUGCCCUGACUUCUGUCAUCAGCUCUGGCAGGACAAGUCUUUGUGGAGGCAAGCAGGUUCCAGCAGUAAGACUUGGAAGUUGUCGAUAAGGCUGGCUGCCGCUUAGGAUUCAUAAGGUUUGAUGCCGAUGGCAAAGCCAGACAGAAACUGUGCUCUACGGCCACGUAUGGUGAGGACUAGUUGCUGCCCAGAUAUGUAACUCUCUGGGCUCAAAUCUUCCUUAGGUUAAAAAAAGAAAAGAAAAAAAUCUUCAUGUAUUCAAAUGUACAUUUUAGUCCUUUUUGAGGACUGACUCAUUCCCCAGCCAGCCAUACUGUGUAUUCAUUGUGUGUGUUCACUGCCUUUCAACCCUUCCAUUUGGGGACUACCCUAAACAGAUUGCUCAUGAAUAGAGCUAAGUAUGGAUUUUGCAUUUGUGGAGAUUAACUGGUCACUGCGUUUGCACUGAUUGAAGCUGCAGAGGCGCAGAGCAAUCUGAGGAGGACUUGGAGGCUCCCUGCAGAGUGGCCUCUUGCCUGGCUUUGGUGAUGUGUCUGAGUGUCCCAGGAAGGCCCAUUACAGCCCCUGUAGCUGCGCCAGCUCUGGCCAGCAGCUUAUGCCCUGCAGGUGUGGA